GAUGAAGAACGCAGCGAAAUGCGAUAAGUAAUGUGAAUUGCAGAAUUCAGUGAAUCAUCGAAUCUUUGAACGCACAUUGCGCCCGCCAGCACUCUGGCGGGCAUGCCUGUUCGAGCGUCAUUUCAACCAUCAAGCCCCCAGGGGCUUGUGCUGAGGCCCUGCGGCUGCCCGCAGGCCCUGAAAACCAGUGGCGGGCUCGCUAGUCACACCGAGCGCAGUAGCACAUCUCGCUCAGGGCGUGCGGCGGGCUCCUGCCGUGAAACCCCCCACUGUAACCCCAAAGGUUGACCUCGGAUCAGGUAGGAAUACCCGCUGAACUUAAGCAUAUCAAUAAGCGGAGGA
rnacentral:misc_RNA from 1 species